CAGCAGCCGCGGUAAUACGUAGGUCCCGAGCGUUGUCCGGAUUUAUUGGGCGUAAAGCGAGCGCAGGCGGUUAGAUAAGUCUGAUGUGAAAGCCCACGGCUCAACCGUGGAGGGUCAUUGGAAACUGUUAAACUUGAGUGCAGGAGAGAAAAGUGGAAUUCCUAGUGUAGCGGUGAAAUGCGUAGAGAUUAGGAGGAACACCAGUGGCGAAGGCGGCUUUUAGGCCUGUAACUGACACUGAGGCGCGAAAGCGUGGGGAGCAAACAGGAUUAGAUACCCGCGUAGUCCCUGUCUCUUAUCC
rnacentral:rRNA from 1 species